GACGAACGCUGGCGGCGUGCUUAACACAUGCAAGUCGAACGGAAAGGCCCUGCUUUUGUGGGGUGCUCGAGUGGCGAACGGGUGAGUAACACGUGAGUAACCUGCCCUUGACUUUGGGAUAACUUCAGGAAACUGGGGCUAAUACCGGCUAGGAGCUCCUGCUGCAUGGUGGGGGUUGGAAAGUUUCGGCGGUUGGGGAUGGACUCCCGGCUUAUCAGCUUGUUGGUGGGGUAGUGGCUUACCAAGGCUUUGACGGGUAGCCGGCCUGAGAGGGUGACCGGCCACAUUGGGACUGAGAGACGGCCCAGACGGCUACGGGAGGCAGCAGUGGGGAAUAUUGCACAAUGGGCGGAGGCCUGAUGCAGCAACGCCGCGUGCGGGAUGACGGCCUUCGAGUUGUAAACCGCUUUCGCCUGUGACGAAGCGUGAGUGACGGUAAUGGGUAAAGAAGCACCGGCUAACUACGUG
rnacentral:rRNA from 1 species